rnacentral:snRNA from 10 species
GUACUCGCUUUGGCAGCACAUAUAUUAAAAUUGGAAAGAUACAGAGCAGAUCAGCAUGGCCUCUGCACAAGGGUGACAUGCAAAUUCAUGAAGCAUUCCAUAUUUUU